rnacentral:rRNA from 1 species
UACAGAGGUCUCAAGCGUUGUUCGGGUUCAUUGGGCGUAAAGGGUGUGUAGGCGGCGCGGUAAGUCGGGUGUGAAAUCUCGGAGCUUAACUCCGAAACUGCAUUCGAUACUGCCGUGCUUGAGGACUGGAGAGGAGACUGGAAUUUACGGUGUAGCGGUGAAAUGCGUAGAUAUCGUAAGGAAGACCAGUGGCGAAGGCGGGUCUCUGGACAGUUCCUGACGCUGAGGCACGAAGGUCAGGGGAGCAAACGGG